rnacentral:rRNA from 1 species
GACGAACGCUGGCGGCGUGCCUAAUACAUGCAAGUUGAGCGAUGAAGCUUGGUGCUUGCACCACUUUGAAGAGCAGCGAACGGGUGAGUAACGCGUGGGGAAUCUGCCUUUGAGCGGGGGACAACAUUUGGAAACGAAUGCUAAUACCGCAUAACAACUUUAACCAUAAGUUUUAAGUUUGAAAGAUGCAAUUGCAUCACUCAAUGGUGAUCCCCGGUUGUAUUAACUAGUUGGUGAAGUAAAGGCUCAACAAAGCGAUGAAACAUAGCCGGACUGGGAGGGUGAUCGGGCAAAUUGGGAAUGAGACACGGCCCAAACUUCCUCGGGAGGCAAGAGUAAGGAAUCUUCCGCCAUGGACGAAAGGCUGGCCGAGGAACGCCGGGUGAGUGAAUAAGGGUUUCGGAUCGUAAAACUCUUGUGGUAAAGAAGAAACAUGUGUAGAGUGGAAAGUUCAUCAAGUGACGGUAACUAAUCAGAAAGGGACGGCUAACUACGUG